UACGUAGGCAGCAAGCGUUGUUCGGAGUUACUGGGCGUAAAGGGUGCGUAGGCGGUCCUAUAAGUAUGGUGUGAAAUCUCCCGGCUUAACUGGGAGGGUGCGCUAUAGACUGUGGGACUAGAGUGUGGGAGAGGAAAGUGGAAUUCCUGGUGUAGCGGUGAAAUGCGUAGAUAUCAGGAGGAACACCGGUGGUGUAGACGGCUCUCUGGACCGUAACUGACGCUGAGGCACGAAAGCGUGGGUAGCAAACAGG
rnacentral:rRNA from 1 species